GUGUCAGCCGCCGCGGUAAGACGAACCGUGCGAACGUUGUUCGGAUUCACUGGGCUUAAAGGGCGCGUAGGCGGGACCGUCAGUCAGGGGUGAAAUCCUCCGGCUCAACCGGAGAAGGGCUUCUGAUACUGCGGGCCUGGAGGGAGGUAGGGGCAGAUGGAACUUCCGGUGGAGCGGUGAAAUGCGUAGAUAUCGGAAGGAACGCCGGUGGCGAAAGCGAUCUGCUGGACCUCUUCUGACGCUGAGGCGCGAAAGCCAGGGGAGCAAACGGGAUUAGAUACCCCGGUAGUCCUGGCCCUAAACGAUGAGGACUAGGUCGUGGACUUGACAUGGGUUCACAGCCGAAGCCAAAGUGCUAAGUCCUCCGCCUGGGGAGUAUGGUCGCAAGGCUGAA
rnacentral:rRNA from 1 species